UACCAGACUCCUACGGGAGGCAGCAGUGGGGGAUAUUGCACAAUGGGGGGAACCCUGAUGCAGCGACGCCGCGUGGGUGAAGGAGUAUUUCGGUAUGUAAAGCCCUAUCGGCAGGGAAGAAGCAAGACGGUACCUGACUAAGAAGCCCCGGCUAACUACGUGCCAGCAGCCGCGGUAAUACGUAGGGGGCAAGCGUUAUCCGGAUUUACUGGGGGUAAAGGGGGCGCAGACGGCAAUGCAAGCCAGGAGUGAAAGCCCGGGGCCCAACCCCGGGACUGCUCUUGGAACUGCGCGGCUGGAGUGCAGGAGGGGCAGGCGGAAUUCCUGGUGUAGCGGUGAAAUGCGUAGAUAUCAGGAGGAACACCGGUGGCGAAGGCGGCCUGCUGGACUGCGACUGACGUUGAGGCCCGAAAGCGUGGGGAGCAAACAGGAUUAGAUACCCGAGUACG
rnacentral:rRNA from 1 species